AGGGGUGUAGCCAAGCGGUAAGGCACCAGACUUUGACUCUGGCACUCGUAGGUUCAAAUCCUCCCACCCCUGCCA
rnacentral:tRNA from 2 species